rnacentral:rRNA from 1 species
UGAGGAAUAUUGCGCAAUGGGCGAAAGCCUGACGCAGCGACGCCGCGUGGAGGAUGAAGGAUUUCGGUCUGUAAACUCCUGUCAGUUGGGAAGAGAAUGGACGGUACCAACUGAGGAAGCUUCGGCUAACUACGUGCC